UCCUAAAUUUUGACUUUUGUGGCUACAAACUACCUUUUGUAUAGUUAUGUAUAUGCAUAUAUGCUUGGUUGAUCUUAAUUUUCCAUAUCCAAUGUAUUCAAAUCAUGUUCAUAGUCAGAUUACCAUUCUUAAUCUGUUGUUUCAAGAUUGUCUAACCUUUGUGUUGAUAACUAUUGAAGCAUCAUACGCUUCACAUCCUACUGCUAAUGUCUUAAUUAACUUUGCUUCAUACAGAAAGUCAAUGAUUAUUCUAUGAGUAGUGUUCUGGAGUGCGAAACUUCUAUAGUUGUACCUAAUGAUGAAUGUAUGUUGAUAUAUCUGCAAUGCUCCCACUUCUUCCAUGGCUGCUUCUAUGCAACCAACCAUUAGAGUUGUGGCAAUUAUUACUGAAGGUGUACCUAAGUCAGACACAAAGCAAUUGAUCGCAUAUGCACGGGCAAACAACAAGGUUGUCAUUGGCCCUAAUACUGUUGGAGGAAUUCAAGCUGGAGCUUUUAAGAUUGAUGACACUGCUGGAACAAUUGAUAACAUUAUUCACUGCAAGCUAUACAAGCUUAAAUCUAUUGGUUUUGUCUCCAAAUAUAAUGGACAACCUCCUGUGAUUUGCAAGCUUUUAAACCACCAAAGAAACAUAAGGGUCUCUGCAUGUAAAGUGUGCACAAGUUAAGGCAGUUCAGAACCUAUGAAACAAGUAGCACUACUGACGCACUGUUGGAGAGAUUAUGAACCUCUGUUAAGUCACAGUCCAGUGAAGGGAUUAGCCCGUUCGACUUUGUGUUUUAGAUGAAUCCGUUUCGGAUUGGGAGAAAAUUUAAACCCAGAAAAAGUUGGGUUUCCUGAUGAGUUGUCCGGCAGAUUUCAGGUCGACAACAAACAGGUUGAUCACAUCUUGAGUUUUCUGACUGAUUUAUUCAAUCCUAUCAGUUCUGAUUCUGUCCCUCCAUAACAUUUCCAGCACCAUCUGCCUUGCUCUCAUCACAGCUUGGCUUUCAGCUCCUCAGGAGGAAUAGUGGAAUGGUGGAUGUGAAAGUUUCUUUUACAGCAAUUCAAAGAGAAGAGCUUGACAGACAAUGGACUCUUCCCCUAUUCCUCCACAUUCACUUUUACCAAUUUCCAAGAACAUAUUAAAUUCCCUCAAACUAUAAGCCGACGUAUGGAAAAGCUUUGAAUUCAUUGGUUUCCUCCAAUUAGUAUGCAGAACUCUAAAAAAAGAAAAAAGUGAGGGUUGAAUGACUACCCUCAUAUAUACACAGACAGAUAUGUAAAAAAAUUAGAAUGGUGAAAUGAGGAUUUAAUGACCUAUUACUCA